GAUGACAUUCAACUCUCUUUGGCUGAAGUCAAACUUGCUUGGUUACCCAUUCCGAUUUUGCUUGAUGACAUUCUUGCUUGGAUAGUGCAUAUUGUUGCUGCCAUCCUUAAGACUUUCCAAAUUUCUGGCUUCAGUAUGGAUGCUGCAAAUGCUGGACGGAUUG